rnacentral:rRNA from 1 species
CCCUUAGAUGUCCUGGGCCGCACGCGCGUUACACUGAUGCAUUCAACGAGCUUAUAACCUUGGCCGAGAGGCCUGGGCAAUCUUGUUAACGUGCAUCGUGAUAGGGAUAGAUUAUUGCAAUUAUUAAUCUUGAACGAGGAAUUCCUAGUAAACGCAGAUCAUCAAUCUGCAUUGAUUACGUCCCUGCCCUUUGUACACACCGCCCGUCGCACCUACCGAUUGAAUGGUCCGGUGAAGCCUCGGGAUUGUGGUUAGUUUCCUUCAUUGGAAGUUAGCCGCGAGAACUUGUCUAAACCUUAUCAUUUAGAGGAAGGUGAAGUCGUAACA